UGUGCCAGCCGCCGCGGUAAUACGGAGGGUGCAAGCGUUAAUCGGAAUUACUGGGCGUAAAGCGCACGCAGGCGGUUUGUUAAGUCAGAUGUGAAAUCCCCGGGCUCAACCUGGGAACUGCAUCUGAUACUGGCAAGCUUGAGUCUCGUAGAGGGGGGUAGAAUUCCAGGUGUAGCGGUGAAAUGCGUAGAGAUCUGGAGGAAUACCGGUGGCGAAGGCGGCCCCCUGGACGAAGACUGACGCUCAGGUGCGAAAGCGUG
rnacentral:rRNA from 1 species